UACGGAGGGUGCAAGCGUUGUUCGGAAUCACUGGGCGUAAAGCGCGCGUAGGCGGCCUCCUAAGUCUGUCGUGAAAGCCCGGGGCUCACCCCCGGAAGUGCACUGGAAACUGAGAGGCUAGAGUACCGGAGAGGAAGGUGGAAUUCCUGGUGUAGCAGUGAAAUGCGUAGAUAUCAGGAGGAACACCAGUGGCGAAGGCGGCCUUCUGGACGGAUACUGACGCUGAGGCGCGAAAGCGUGGGGAGCAAACAGG
rnacentral:rRNA from 1 species